AGGUGAGCCCCUGCCUCUUACCUCUUGACCUUCAAAUGUAGGAUGGUCACUUGCAGAUAAGUCCUAACUCCAGCCUUUAUCAUGCUGAGUCCAGCCCUUGAGGACCCCUUCACAAGCACAGAGGUUCAAAUGGAAGGAAAACUGGAAAAUCCACAGAAUCAAUAAGAGAUAUAUGCUUUGGAUUAGAGCCGAAGGUGAAACUUGAUGAUAAACCCUUGCAUGUUUCACGUGAGCAAUCUGCCUUUUUGCUGCCUUUCCCCAGUUAUUUAGCAUCCCACAAGGUUCCAAGAGUCAAGAGUGUUGGGGGCAAAAAUCUAGAAUGGCUGAGCAAAUGUUAACAAAAGAUUUGAGGUGGGGAUAAUGGGCAGCAAAAGCAAUUAGAACAA
rnacentral:lncRNA from 1 species